UUACUAGAGUAGCACUCGCAUAUCAAUAAGCGGAGGAAAAGAAACUAACAAGGAUUCCCCUAGUAACGGCGAGUGAAGCGGGAAGAGCUCAAAUUUGAAAUCUUAAAGGGUUUCCCUUUACGAAUUGUAGUUUAAAGAGGUGUUUUCUGUUGAGGUUUUGGUAAAAGUUCUUUGGAAUAGGACAUCAUAGAGGGUGAGAAUCCCGUAUUUGACCUUUACUUUCAACUUUGUGAUACACUUUCAAAGAGUCGGAUUGUUUGGGAAUGCAGUCCAAAAUGGGUGGUAAAUUUCAUCUAAAGCUAAAUAUUGGCGAGAGACCGAUAGCGAACAAGUACCGUGAGGGAAAGAUGAAAAGAACUUUGAAAAGAGAGUUAAACAGUACGUGAAAUUGUCAAAAGGGAAGCGUUUGACACCAGUGUUGUUUUUCUGAAAAUCAAUUAAAGAACUGUUUAUGCUAAGCUGUUUAGACUUUAUCAGCUAACUGUUUAGUUUUGAGCUUUUCUUUAAUGCACUUUUCAGUUAACAAGUCAACAUCAAUUUCUUUUGCUGUAAAAAAGCUUGAGGAAGGUGGCUUGAGAUUCGUCUUAAGUGUUUAUAGCCUCUUGCCUAUGCAGUCGGAGAGAUUGAGGUCUGCAGCGUAGAUCCUUCGGGGCUAAAUGCAUUUGUGCUAAGUUAUAGCAUUUUAUAGACUAACUUGUUGACUAUGAUUUGUCUUGUAGCUUACUCGCUUAUGUUAUUUUACCUACGCUUAGGAUGUUGAUCUACAGAGCGAGAGU
rnacentral:rRNA from 1 species